rnacentral:rRNA from 1 species
GACGAACGCUGGCGGCGUGCUUAACACAUGCAAGUCGAACGGAAAGGCCCUGCUUUUGUGGGGUGCUCGAGUGGCGAACGGGUGAGUAACACGUGAGUAACCUGCCCUUGACUUUGGGAUAACUUCAGGAAACUGGGGCUAAUACCGGAUAGGAGCUCCUGCUGCAUGGGGGGGGUUGGAAAGUUUCGGCGGUUGGGGAUGGACUCGCGGCUUAUCCGCUUGUUGGUGGGGUAGUGGCUUACCAAGGCUUUGACGGGUAGCCGGCCUGAGAGGGUGACCGGCGACAUUGGGACUGAGAUACGGACCAGACUCCUACGGGAGGCAGCAGUGGGGAAUAUUGCACAAUGGGCGGAAGCCUGAUGCAGCAACGCCGCGUGCGGGAUGACGGCCUUCGGGUUGUAAACCGCUUUCGCCUGUGACGAAGCGUGAGUGACGGUAAUGGGUAAAGAAGCACCGGCUAACUACGUG